UGGAGCAUGUGUUUUAUUUGAAAGCAACGCGCAGAACCUUACCACCUUUUGACAUGCCUGGACCGCCACAAGAGAUGUGGUUUUCCCUUCGGGGACUGGGACACAGGUGCUGCAUGGCUGUCGUCAGCCCCGUGUCGUGAGAUGUUGGGUUAAGUCCCGCAACGAGCGCAACCCUCGCGAUUAGUUGCCAUCAGGUUUGGCUGGGCACUCUAAUCGUACUGCCGGAGUUAAUCCGGAGGAAGGCGGGGAUGACGUCAAGUCCUCAUGGCCCUUACAAGGUGGGCUACACACGUGCUACAAUGGCGACUACAGAGGGCUGCAAUCCCGCGAGGGGGAGCCAAUCCCUAAAAGUCGUCUCAGUUCGGAUUGUUCUCUGCAACUCGAGAGCAUGAAGUUGGAAUCGCUAGUAAUCGCGGAUCAGCAUGCCGCGGUGAAUACGUUCCCGGGCCUUGUACACACCGCCCGUCACACCAUGGGAGUUGGCUUUACCCGAAGGCGCUGCGCUAACCGCAAGGAGGCAGGCGACCACGGUAGGGUCAGCGACUGGGGUGAAGUCGUAACAAGGUAACCGUA
rnacentral:rRNA from 1 species